GGCUCAUUGGUCUAGUGGUAUGAUUCUUGCUUUGGGUGUAAGAGGGUUCAAAUCCUGGAUGAGCCC
rnacentral:tRNA from 1 species